AUAUUGCUUUCAAUCACCCUGUGUUUUCAGACCACAACACGAAGAAGAGCAAGAGAUGAGAGGAAGCCACUUUAGGCUAUUGAGAUGCAGCCUUUAGGCUCUCAUCUGUCACAUCCUGUCAGAUCAGUGGUUGUUGAUGAAAGGAGAAAAGCCAAGGGCCUCCUGAAUGCGGUGACAGUGAUGGGUGAGGACACAGAGGAAGUUGGCACAGGGAGAUGGUCGCCCUGGAGAACACACACAGCCUUACAAGGACAAGGCAUGCUCCAACCAACUCCCAGAGGAGCGGACACAGAAGCCAUUCCCUGAAGAACGACAAGAGAUGGCGGGAAGGAGGGAGGGAGGGAAGGAGGGAUACAACAAACCAGCUUCAGUCGCGGCACUGUUAUAAAACAUUUAUUCUGGCAGAAAUAUUUGAAGUUUUUCAGAGGCCUGGAAGCAGAGGCGAAUCAUAAAAAACCCUGAUUGAUCGUUGCCCAGAGAAACAUUGGCACAGAAGAUAUUCAUGUCAGAUAAAAAUCCAUAUUGGGCUUUACAAUCAUUUACAAAAAGACUUAGAAAUCUAUUUAAAAUUACAAAAAAUAAAAAUAAACGACAAGUAAGGAUCUUUAAAAAUAACUUGUAGUGUUUUGUGUUGG